UUUGGAUCGCAGUGGAAAGACUUCACAAUGUAGCAAGUUACUACCUUACUUGGAGGGACUGGGGCAUCCGACUGAAUUAUGGCGUUUUCCUGAUAGGUCGACUAGCAUUGGACAGAUGAUAUCUGCUUACCUUUCAAAUCAAUCUCAGUUGGAUGAUCACACAAUCCAUCUCCUAUACAGUGCAAAUCGGUGGGAGAAGAGCUCAUUGAUGGAAACUAAACUGAAAAGUGGAACUACUCUCAUUGUUGACCGUUACUCUUAUUCCGGAGUUGCUUUCUCAUCUGCCAAAGGACUUGAUUUUGAAUGGUGUAAGGCUCCUGAGAUUGGAUUGCUGGCUCCAGAUCUUGUUCUGUACCUUGAUAUAACACCUGAGAAAGCUGCAGAAAGAGGAGGUUAUGGUGGUGAAAGAUAUGAGAAACUUGAGUUCCAGAAGAAAGUUGCUGAAAGCUAUCGGGCCCUUCGUGAUCCCUCGUGGAAGAUUAUAGAUGGCUGCCAAUCCAUGGAAGAGGUUCAAAAACUGCUUCAAGAGAUUGUGUUGGAUCAUGUUAUAGCAUGUAAAAAGGGAAGAGCCCUUUCUCACCUCUGGUGAUGCUACUUUUUAUUGUUAAGAGGAUUUGGGUGAGAUAUAGUGAGCUUCACAACUUCUUUUCUUUGAUUUCGAAAUAUUAUUUGGUAUGUGUGAUUUCCACUUUUUUUUUUUUUUAAACGGUUUUAUGUUUAUGUUUACAC
rnacentral:misc_RNA from 1 species